rnacentral:rRNA from 1 species
GUCCACGCUGUAAACGAUGUCAACUAGCCGUUGGGGAUCUUGAAUCUUUAGUGGCGCAGCUAACGCACUAAGUUGACCGCCUGGGGAGUACGGCCGCAAGGUUAAAACUCAAAUGAAUUGACGGGGGCCCGCACAAGCGGUGGAGCAUGUGGUUUAAUUCGACGCAACGCGAAGAACCUUACCUGGCCUUGACAUGUUGGGAACUUUCCAGAGAUGGAUUGGUGCCUUCGGGAACCCAAACAC